UACGGGGGGUGCGAGCGUUGUCCGGAAUCACUGGGCGUAAAGGGCGCGUAGGUGGCCUGAUAAGGGUGUGGUGAAAGUCCGGGGCUUAACCCCGGAUCUGCCGUGCCGACUGUUAGGCUAGAGUGCUGUAGGGGCAGGCGGAAUUCCGGGUGUAGCGGUGGAAUGCGUAGAGAUCCGGAGGAAGACCGGUGGCGAAGGCGGCCUGCUGGGCAGAUACUGACACUGAUGCGCGAAAGCUAGGGGAGCGAACGGG
rnacentral:rRNA from 1 species